AGCGGAGGAAAAGAAACCAACAGGGAUUGCCUCAGUAACGGCGAGUGAAGCGGCAAAAGCUCAAAUUUGAAAUCUAGCACCUUCGGUGUUCGAGUUGUAAUUUGAAGAUGGUAACCUUGGGUUUGGCUCUUGUCUAUGUUCCUUGGAACAGGACGUCAUAGAGGGUGAGAAUCCCGUCUGAUGAGAUGCCCAUUCCUAUGUAAGGUGCUAUCGAAGAGUCGAGUUGUUUGGGAAUGCAGCUCUAAGUGGGUGGUAAAUUCCAUCUAAAGCUAAAUAUUGGCGAGAGACCGAUAGCGAACAAGUACAGUGAUGGAAAGAUGAAAAGAACUUUGAAAAGAGAGUGAAAAAGUACGUGAAAUUGUUGAAAGGGAAGGGCAUUAGAUCAGACUUGGUGUUUUACGAUUAUCUUCUCUUCUUGAGUUGUGCACUCGUAUUUCACUGGGCCAGCAUCGAUUCGGAUGGCAAGAUAAUGGCAGUUGAAUGUGGCUUCACUUCGGUGGAGUGUUAUAGCUUCUGCUGAUAUUGCCUGUCUGGAUCGAGGGCUGCGUCUUUUGACUAGGAUGCUGGCGUAAUGAUCUAAUGCCGCCCGUCUUG
rnacentral:rRNA from 1 species